UGUGAAAGUUUAUCUGCCUAUUGUAUAUGAUGAGAUGUGCAUAUUCGGUAAAGGGAUGGUAUGCCCGAAGGAAGAGUGAAAUAAAAAUAUGAAUAACUAUGUUAUAAUUUGAUUGUUAUCUGUUGACACUGCUUAAAACUUACUAAGCAUUGUAAUGCUUACUCCGUUUACUCUGUUUCCUCUGUUUUAUAGAUCUCAUU
rnacentral:lncRNA from 1 species